rnacentral:misc_RNA from 1 species
UUGUGUUGACAAUAAAAAAACGAAAAAGUACCGAGUUUCGUGGGAAAGUUUAAUACGUUUUGAGUUUUGAGUUUACUAAUUUCAAUACACGUAAUUAUAAUUGUAUUGUGUUUCAGAACGUAUGUGAUAUAGUAAACGAAUUGAAAAUGCCAAAUAGGAUAUUACUGAAAAAAGACAAGGAUAUUUCCAAAUCCAAAAAUGUUGAUGUAAAAAAUGGAUCAGGAGCAGAAAUGACAGGAGAUGAUGUACAUGAUGGCACUUCUACUGGACAUUCAAAUACUGCUCCUAGUCCUCCACCAACACAAAUAAACAAACUUAAGUUAGGACCAAUCACAAUAAAAAGAGAGAAAAGACAAAACUCUUCACGUUUUAAUGUUGUAACUACCAACCGCGAACUUCAAGUUCUACAAUCACUUCAUGAAGCCAAUGCAUCUGAAAGAGAACAGUUGCUUAUUCAGAAAAUGCAACAGUGCUGUGUGUUAUUUGACUUUAUUUCUGAUCCACAGUCUGAUCUAAAAUGGAAAGAAAUCAAGCGAGAAACAUUACAUGAAAUGGUAGACUAUUUGUCAUCUAAUCACGGUAAUGUGCUUACUGAAGCUAUAUAUCCCGAAGCUGUAAGAAUGUUUGGAGUAAAUUUAUUUCGUAGCCUGCCUCCAUCAAGUAAUCCCAAUGGUGCAGAGUUUGAUCCAGAAGAAGAUGAACCUCUAUUAGAAGCAGCCUGGCCUCAUUUGCAACUGGUAUAUGAGUUCUUUCUUAGGUUUCUAGAGUCUCAAGACUUUCAGCCCCAUGUAGCUAAGAACUACAUUGAUCAGAAAUUUGUUCUUCAGUUGUUAGAACUAUUUGAUUCAGAAGAUCCACGAGAGAGAGACUUUUUGAAAACUAUACUGCAUCGGAUUUAUGGUAAAUUUUUAAGUUUGCGAGCAUACAUACGAAAACAGAUAAACAACAUAUUUUAUAGUUUUAUAUAUGAAACAGAACAUCAUAAUGGCAUUGCAGAGCUUUUAGAAAUAUUAGGAAGCAUUGUCAAUGGUUUUGCAUUGCCUUUGAAAGAGGAGCACAAAGUAUUCUUGCUAAAAGUUCUACUACCAUUACACAAAGUGAAAUCUUUAUCUGUGUAUCAUCCACAAUUGGCUUAUUGUAUUGUGCAGUUUCUUGAAAAAGAUCCAUCUCUUACAGAACCAGUUAUCAGAAGUUUGUUAAAGUUUUGGCCAAAAACACAUUCCCCAAAAGAAGUUAUGUUUCUUAACGAAUUAGAAGAAAUUUUGGACAUAAUUGAACCACUGGAAUUUCGAAAAGUCCUUAAGCCAUUAAUACAUCAAUUAGCUAGAUGUGUCUCUAGUCAACAUUUUCAAGUUGCAGAGAGAGCACUUUACUUUUGGAACAAUGAGUAUAUUAUGUCACUAAUGUCUGAAAAUGUUGAUGAAAUUUUGCCAAUCAUGUUUCCAGUGUUAUACAAAAAUUCUAAAACUCAUUGGAAUAAAAAUAUACAUGGUCUAAUGUACAAUGCAUUAAAAAUAUUUACUGAAACUAAUCCUGUACUAUUUCAUUCGUGCACACAACAAUUUAAAGAAGAUAGGAAGACUGAAAUGGAAAAGUUAAAAAAACGAGAUGAAAAGUGGCAUCGAGUUGAAGAGUUGGCUAAAAGGAAUCCCAAUUUUACAGUAUCUAUUGAUAAUAGUUUGUCAUUUUAUACUGACCUUGCAAGGUCACCAAUUAACGACUUAGACCCGACUAUUGAUUUGAAAACUUUGGAAGAGGAUACCAAGUAUCAUAUCGAUACAGAUAACCGUAAAAAUCGAAAAGAAAAACCUUUAUUGAGGCGUAAAUCUGAAUUACCACAUGACACAUACACUUUGAGGGCAUUAAAUGAUCAUAAGAGAGCCGAUGAAUAUCUAGCUACACCACCUGAUGUUAAUAAAUGCUAGCCAAUUGUUUCAAUUGUGAUNACCAUUUUAUUUCUAUAUAAAGAGUCUAAACAACUAAGGAUUACUCAAAAAAAAAAAAAGUUAUAAUGGUUAUUCAUCUCAUUAGGGGUCAUUUAAAUGUUGAGUUUAUCUUUUGUUAGGAUUAACAUGUUAUAAGUAGUUCAACCAGNAAUUUUCCAAAAUGUGAAUGAAGAAAAUCAUGUGAAGUGAACGCACUCUUAUCUACUUCGGUUGUGUUAUUUAUUUUUAAAAUAAACAUUAAACGUGUCAUUUAAAUUUUUUUUAUUUACCACAAUAUAUUAGUUUUAAUUUUUGUUUCUAUGAAAGUAUUCAUUUUUAAAUGGUACAUAACAAAAAUUAAGUGAGAUUGCAUUCAAGAAUAAUUUCAGAGAUUUUUAUUGAUUCUCAUGUUGGUUU